rnacentral:rRNA from 1 species
GAGUUUGAUCCUGGCUCAGGAUGAACGCUGGCGGCGUGCCUAACACAUGCAAGUCGAACGAAGCGCCUUUUGAGAUUCUUCGGAUGAUCGAUUGGUGACUGAGUGGCGGACGGGUGAGUAACGCGUGGGUAACCUGCCCUGGAGUGGGGGACAACAGUUGGAAACGACUGCUAAUACCGCAUAAGCCCACGAUCCGGCAUCGGAUUGAGGGAAAAGGAUUUAUUCGCUUCAGGAUGGACCCGCGUUGGAUUAGCUAGUUGGCAGGGCAGCGGCCUACCAAGGCGACGAUCCAUAGCCGGCCUGAGAGGGUGAACGGCCACAUUGGGACUGAGACACGGCCCAGACUCCUACGGGAGGCAGCAGUGGGGAAUAUUGCACAAUGGGGGAAACCCUGAUGCAGCGACGCCGCGUGAAGGAAGAAGUAUCUCGGUAUGUAAACUUCUAUCAGCAGGGAAGAUAAUGACGGUACCUGACUAAGAAGCCCCGGCUAACUACGUGCCAGCCGCCGCGGUAAUAC